rnacentral:rRNA from 1 species
CAAUAGCGUAUAUUAAAGUUGUUGCAGUUAAAAAGCUCGUAGUUGGAUUUCUGGCUGGAGCGAUCGGUCCGCCCCGCAAGGGGUGUGUACUAGCGUCGUCUCCGACCAUCCUUGUGGGAACUGUGCGGCCGUUAACUCGGUUGUAUAUGGGAACACAUCGUUUACUGUGAAAAAAUUAGAGUGUUUAAAGCAGGCUUAAGCCGUUGAAUACAUUAGCAUGGAAUAAUAAGAUAAGACUUGGGUCAUUAUUUUGUUGGUUUGCGGAUCGAGGUAAUGAUUAAUAGGGAUAGUUGGGGGUAUUCAUAUUUAAUUGUCAGAGGUGAAAUUCUUGGACCUUCGGAAGACUAACAACUAGCGAAAGACAUUUGUCCUAGGAUGUUCUCUUUAAUUCAAGAACGAAAGUUAGGGGAGUCGAAGAUGAUCAGAUACCGU